rnacentral:rRNA from 1 species
AGAGUUUGAUCCUGGCUCAGAAUGAACGUUGGCGGCGUGGAUUAGGCAUGCAAGUCGAGCGAGAACCCGCAAGGGGGACAGCGGCGAACGGGGUAGGAAUACGUAGGUAACGUACCCUCGGGGCGAGGACAGCCACGGGAAACUGUGGGUAAUACUCGAUAAACUUCCCAAUCAUUAUGGAAGGGGAAGCAAUGGGUGUGAUUCCACCUGAGGAGCGGCUUACGCAGUAUCAGCUAGUUGGUGAGGUAACGGCUCACCAAGGCUACGACGCUUAGGGGGUGUGAGAGCAUGGCCCCCACCACUGGCACUGAGACACUGGCCANACACCUACGGGUGGCUGCAGUCGAGAAUCUUCGGCAAUGCACGGAAGUGUGACCGAGCGAUACUGCGUGCAGGAAGAAGGCCUUCGGGUUGUAAACUGCUGUCGUAUGGGAAGAACUUUGACGGUACCAUACAAGAAAGGGGCGCCUAACUCUGUGCCAGCAGGCGCGGUAAUACAGAGGCCCCAAGCGUUAGCCGGAAUUAUUGGGCGUAAAGGGUCCGCAGGCGGAGUAGAGCGUCUUCUGUGAAAUCCUAUCGGCUCAACCGAGAGGCUGCAGUGGAUACGACUACUCUUGAGGCAAGGAGAGGUAAGCGGAAUUCCUAGUGGAGCGGUGAAAUGCGUUGAUAUUAGGGAGAACACCAAUUGCGAAGGCAGCUUACUGGCCUUGUCCUGACGCUCAGGGACGACAGCGUGGGGAGUGAACGGGAUUAGAUACCCCGGUAAUCCAUGCCGUAAACGUUGCAAACUAGGCAUUGGGAGUAUCGACUCUCUCAGUGUCGAAGCUAACGCGUUAAGUUUGCCGCCUGGGUAGUACGGUCGCAAGACUAAAACUCAAAGGAAUAGACGGGGGCCCGCACAAGCGGUGGAGCGUGUGGUUUAAUUCGAGGCAACGCGAAGAACCUUAUCCUGGGUUUGACAUGUACGGAUUAACCCUAUGAAAGUAGGGCCACGCUCGCAAGAGUGGAACGUGCACAGGUGCUGCAUGGCUGUCGUCAGCUCGUGUCGUGAGAUGUCGCGUUAAGUCGCUAAACGAGCGAAACCCCUAUCUUUAGUUGCCAGCGCGUCAUGGCGGGGACUCUAAAGAGACUGCCGGUGUCAAACCGGAGGAAGGCGGGGAUGACGUCAAGUCCUCAUGGCCUUUAUGCCCAGGGCUGCACACGUGCUACAAUGGGGCGUACAAAGCGCCGCGAAGUUGCGAAACCAAGCUAAUCGCAAAAAGCGUCCCCCAGUUCGGAUUGCAGGNUGCAAUUCGCNUGCAUGAAGCCGGAAUCGCUAGUAAUCNUCGAUCAGCAUUNCGGCGGUGAAUGCGUUCNUGAGCCUUGUACACACCGCCCGUCAAGCCAUNGAAAGCGGGGGGCAUCCGAAGUCNCCGACGCGAACCGCAAGGA